CUCGGUUCACUGGUUUGUUUGAGUUCAUCGUACGGUUUUCGCGAUGAUCUUCUGAUGUUCGACGAACCAGGACGAGGAAAUAUGUUGCAGUGAAGGCUGAUUCGUGGCCUCGUUCGAGAAAAUCUUCAGGUGAUUGCACGGCUAUAAACCCAGUACCCGAGAUGAAUUAGAAAUUAUACAACGGGAAAGCAAGUCCGUUCUAUAUGAAGAAUGAAAUUUUUUCUGAAAUUUCUUGAGGAAGCGUGGAAAUAUAUCUGCUUGAGGAUUUCUUGUUCGAUUUUGAAAAUGAUGAAUGCACUAGAAACUGCAGAGAAAUGUAGUUCCUUUGUUGUUGAUUAAAAAGCCUGUCUGACUAGAUACUCUCUGUUUUCCCUGUACUUCUCUGUCUCUUAUUUUUCCUUUCCUAUAUUUCCUUUUUCCUUUUUGGGUUUCUCUUACUCGAAUCGAUAGCAUUUUAUUCUAUUUUUUGGGAAUAUUUCACAGGUCAUUUAUAUUGAUUUAUUUAAACCUUUCAAGGAUAUCUACCUCGUAUCAAAUGAAAAUUAAGUUCCAUAAAACACAGGAGUAUCUCCCAUUAACAUUGCCAGCAAACAAGAAACUGUUGACCGCGUUCGAUAUUAAAUCCCGCAGAAGAGUUGAAUUAAUUCAAUUAAAAGAAUAAUUUUCGAGUUCGCUGAAUUGAACGAGCGCUCGUUAUCAAAAGCCGUUUCCUCCGUAUCAAUUCAAUUGAUAUCCCGCUAUGUUCUCUCAUCGUGAAUGCGCUUCAUUUUUAUUUUUUUUUUUAUUUUUUUUUAUUUCCCCUCUUGAUAUUUGACUCUCUUGGAUUCCUCUCCAGAUACAUACCGACAUCUUCAAUUAUUUCGCCAAUUUGCAAGUUGUCGGCGAAUGCUGUCCGAUUCGUUUGCCUCGUUAAAGAAAGAGGCAAACGUUGUCGGAGUCCAAAGAGUAUAUGUACACGGGUAUGGGUUCGAGCACACACAAUAGAGAUUGCUAUCCUCGAUAUCUUGGUCUCACCAAGUCACCACGCUUCUACACUUCAUUCGUUCCAAAUGCGACCACGACAAAUUUUACCUACGGGUAAACAGACGUUGAUGUAAUCGGAAUUCUUUCUUUUCAUUUUGGCCCUUCAGUUUCGGAGUUCAGAAGAAAAUUGAAAAACUUGCGAAAUUGCAGAGGACGAGUUAUGCUAUGAAAUGCUAAGAAAUUUCAGACAAUCAGUCGAUAGGAAUAGAGAGAAAAAAAGGGGUGCGUUUACCCCGUGGCAAUCGUUGCGGUGCACGCUUCUUUCCGUUUAAAGUGAUAUAGAUACCACGUGUAGUACAAUACCCAGCAGAGGAAUUAUUGCCAGGGAUAAUGUUGUGUUCCUGACACGUUUUAUCACGCCACGUUGCUACGUCGUAACUUGAAAUUGAUUAACCCUUAACUCGUUGCGUAGCCGUCACCGAGAGCCAGAUCAAUACGAGCCACUCGUCUUCUCGUCCGUUUCAAAGAACAAAGUGUCUUCUUUUAAGCAAGAAACAGUUGGUUCGUCUCUCCUUUUCAUCGUGACGAAAUAAGAAGCUCGUUCCGUAAUAGUCGUGAUUUUCAUCGAGUCCUUUCCUGGACAAUGUCCUCUAUACUUUUCUUUUUAGAAGUCCAAUUGUUCUUUGAUAUCGAGGGGAAAUCAAUUGUGUCACGGACAAUGCUUUUUUCAAUUCGAGUAAAAAUUCAAUAAGUCCAAGAUUUAAGUCAGAAAUAUCAAACAGGAGCAAAACCAUCCCCUGUAAUCUUCGAUCAAUGACUUGGAGGAUCACCGGUACAAAUUCAUCUCGAAAUAUUCAGAUGGUAUAGCAGCCAUAAAAAUGUUUUCUCCCCAUUGAAAAUCUUAUCACGUUAUCCGAUGGCAUUUGUGAAAGGCGGAGCCCCGCUUCGAAGCCCCGUGAACAAGCUUGAAACGAUCGAGUGUGUCGCAGUGAGAGGGGAAAAAUCGCGUAGUAAUUACGAGAACGAAUGGAUCUCAUCGGUCUCUCGUACGAUCAACACCCCCUCGAAUGAAAGGUGGAUCAAAGGGAAUCGGAAGUUACGACUGUGACCUCUGGUUGCUUGGUAAACUGUGACAAUUUGUAAUGUCGUUUGUUCCAAACACCUUUUCAAAAAUAAGGUCUCUCGUAUCAGUUUAGAUAUAGUUAGCACACUUGUAAACUUGUAAAUGGGAAACAACAGCAAGUUUAAUAAUUCCAUUACCCGUGUAAUUCGAUAUUCUUCUCUUUCCCAAUUGAUUUAACGGUGUAAUAACUGGAUACACCGGUACAAGUUCCGUCUCUGUGUGUGUGUGUGUGUCUGUCACGAUUCCAGCAUUGUAUACACAGGCUAAAUAUUGCAGUCGGUUCUAAUUGUUUCUCCUACUAAUUGUUAGGACGUUUCCUGCGAUUUCUCGUCCCAUGUUUUGCCUGUUAAUGUCAACAUUUCGGGAUAAAGUUAUUGUUGAACUUUCUGGGAAAUUCUGGUAUUAACAGUUCCUUACCAGUGUUUAGAAGAAAAUCAUCUGAAUCGUGAAAGCUCCAAGACAGCAGACACGUAUGAAAAAUGUCGAGCUCUUGGCUAUUAAUUUUCAUUUUUGAAAAAGUUUAAAAAUAACCCCGUACCGAAUAGGAUUACUCCCUUAAAGUAAACGAAUGUUUAUCAUUUCUUUUCUUAUUUCCCGUUUUUUUUCAUGAAGGUAAAUGGUGUAUCCUGAUAAAUAAUUCGUCGCCCUUUUAAUGCCACAUUUAUCCUUUCUUCCCCUGUGUAAACGGCAGGCCGAAGGAAAGGAGGAUCGAGCCCUCGUUGUCACCGUAAUUCCACAUCAGGAUCAGAUGUUUCCUCGUGUAUUUUCAGUCGUCGCUUUUCACCGACCCUUUCCACUGUCUAGCUAAUGCAAUUUUAACGAGGCACAAAGUCGGUCAUAUCGUGUCAUGACUCGAUGCUUGAUGGCUCGUGCAACGGUACGAGCUAGUAUCCCCUUUGAACAGCACAACCAACGCUCGAUAUUUUCUACCCCUAGCUACUUCGACAUGGAUCGAUUCUCUCAACUUCCGGUCGGGAAAAUCGACACUUUCGAUUACUGGCCACAGACGUCAGUUCCUGUCCUCCUGUCUCGCAUACUUCCCUUGUACCUGAUGAUCGACGUUCACGUUUCCCCGAGGAUAUACAUUUUUAAUUGCAAAUUAUUGGUACAAAAAUAAAAUAGGACUGGAAAUUAUAGUCGAGCGUCGAACGUUAUUUCUGUAGCCAGGGGUUGUUUUUAGCAAAUAGUUCUCAAAACUUUCGGCGUAACCAAAGUAGAUUUACGAUCUUUGGCAUGGCAAUGAGCGAUUAAGUGGUCGCGGUAUUUUUUCCUCCUACGAUUACAGGAAUUAAUUUAUGUGAACGGUGACUCAUGCUAAUCAUUAUUGCCAAGACCCUUUUAUUACGUAAUCAUCAAUUGUUCUCGAGUUUCUAAGGGUUCUCGUAAACGACACCCGCAUAAACUGUUUCAUUCAAAGUACUUGCGUAAUCGGGCUACCAUUCUGCACAACAGGGACGGCUGUUGUGUAAGUUCAUUUAUUUUAUUCAUCGAACACUCUGGACUGUUACGAAAAACGAAUACUUUAAGAAUUCUUAU